rnacentral:rRNA from 1 species
AUUGAACGCUGGCGGCAUGCCUUACACAUGCAAGUCGAACGGUAACAGGUCUUCGGAUGCUGACGAGUGGCGAACGGGUGAGUAAUACAUCGGAACGUGCCUAGUAGUGGGGGAUAACUACUCGAAAGAGUGGCUAAUACCGCAUGAGAUCUACGGAUGAAAGCAGGGGAUCGCAAGACCUUGUGCUACUAGAGCGGCCGAUGGCAGAUUAGGUAGUUGGUGGGAUAAAAGCUUACCAAGCCGACGAUCUGUAGCUGGUCUGAGAGGACGAUCGGCCACACUGGGACUGAGACACGGCACAGACUCCUACGGGAGGCAGCAGGGGGGAAUUUUGGACAAUGGGCGCAAGCCUGAUCCAGCAAUGCCGCGUGCAGGAUGAAGGCCUUCGGGUUGUAAACUGCUUUUGUACGGAACGAAAAGCCCCGGGUUAAUACCCUGGGGUCAUGACGGUACCGUAAGAAUAAGCACCGGCUAACUACGUGCCAGCCGCCGCAGUAA